UGAGUAGUACAGAUGAUCGCGCCGAUUUAAUCGGUGAGGAAAGUCCGGGCUUCAUAGGGCAGGGUGCCGGAUAACGUCCGGUGGAGGCGACUCUAAGGCCAGUGCAACAGAAAAUAAACCGCCUAACCGCAGGUUAGAUAAUAACCGUUAGGUUAGGUAAGGGUGGAAUGGCGGUGUAAGAGACCACCGCUUCUCUGGUAACAGAGAAGGCUGUGUAAACCCCACUUGAAGCAAGACCAAACAAAUACCUUUAUGGUAUGAGAGCGAUACGGCGGCCCGUCGUGCUCUUAGGUAGGUCGCGUUUUGUCUGGUAACGGGCAAAUGAGCUGUAUGGUAACGUACAGUCAAGAUAGAUGAUCAUCAAAUACAGAACCCGGCUUAUAGUACUACUCAACUU
rfam:Clostridium phytofermentans ISDg, complete genome.